GCGAACGGCUUAGUAACACGUAGAUACAUACCUUAAAGUGGGGCAUAGCUCGUCGAAAGACGGGGGUAAUUUCCCAUGUGAACGCAAGUUUAAAGGCGCAAGCCGCUUUAAGAAUGGUCUGCGGUCUAUCAGCUAGUUGGUGAGGUAAUGGGCUCACCAAGGCUAUGACGGAUAGGGGGCGUGAGAGCGCGACCCCCAAGAAUGGCACUGCGACACGGGCCAUACUCCUACGGGAGGCUGCAGUCGAGAAUCUUCCGCAAUGGGCGAAAGCCUGACGCAGCAACGCCGCGUGGAGGAUGAAGGUCUUCGGAUUGUAAACUUCUGUCUAGUGAGAAGAAAGACUUGCUAAUAAAACGGGCAAGGGAUGACGGUAUCACUAAAGAAAGCACUGGCUAAUCUCGUGCCAGCAGCCGCGGUAAU
rnacentral:rRNA from 1 species